rnacentral:tRNA from 1 species
UGUAAGAUGCCAGAUUUGAUGGGUAGUGUUUAGGAUUCUAUUAUGGGACUAAAAGAAGUUUCUCUUGCAA